GACGAACGCUGGCGGCGUGCUUAACACAUGCAAGUCGAACGGAAAGGCCCCCACCUUGGUGGGGGUGCUCGAGUGGCGAACGGGUGAGUAACACGUGGGUGAUCUGCCCUGUACUUCGGGAUAAGCUUGGGAAACUGGGUCUAAUACCGGAUAGGACCAUGGUUUAGUGUCUCAUGGUGGAAAAAUUAUUGUUUUGGUGCAGGAUGAGCUCGCGGCCUAUCAGCUUGUUGGUGGGGUAAUGGCCUACCAAGGCGUCGACGGGUAGCCGGCCUGAGAGGGUGGACGGCCAGAUUGGGACUGAGAUACGGCCCAGACUCAGACGGGAGGCAGCAGUGGGGAAUAUUGCACAAUGGGCGCAAGCCUGAUGCAGCGACGCCGCGUGGGGGAUGACGGCCUUCGGGUUGUAAACUCCUUUCGUUAGGGACGAAGCCACACCUUUUUUGGGUGUGGUGACGGUACCUUUGUUAAGAAGCACCGGCUAACUACGUG
rnacentral:rRNA from 1 species